rnacentral:lncRNA from 1 species
UCCAUUCUUGAUGUUUGAAAUGUCAAAUGAAACUUGUUUGAACAUGAAUGAAGUGUCUCUAACUCUCUCCCACCUCCAAGUCCAUCAAUUCAGGCACAGUUGACCACAAUUGACUUUUCUGACUGAUAGAUGAAUCUAGCUAUGCACUGAUCAAGUUGAGCUUCAAACUCCUGAUGAAAUGGCUCAAUGAUGAAACCCUAGCUUCCAUAAGCUCAAUAUAAUCAUAUGAUGAUCCCCA